rnacentral:rRNA from 1 species
CCUACGGGUGGCUGCAGUGGGGAAUAUUGCACAAUGGGCGCAAGCCUGAUGCAGCCAUGCCGCGUGUGUGAAGAAGGCCUUCGGGUUGUAAAGCACUUUCAGCGGGGAGGAAGGCGGUGAGGUUAAUAACCUCAUCGAUUGACGUUACCCGCAGAAGAAGCACCGGCUAACUCCGUGCCAGCAGCCGCGGUAAUACGGAGGGUGCAAGCGUUAAUCGGAAUUACUGGGCGUAAAGCGCACGCAGGCGGUCUGUCAAGUCGGAUGUGAAAUCCCCGGGCUCAACCUGGGAACUGCAUUCGAAACUGGCAGGCUAGAGUCUUGUAGAGGGGGGUAGAAUUCCAGGUGUAGCGGUGAAAUGCGUAGAGAUCUGGAGGAAUACCGGUGGCGAAGGCGGCCCCCUGGACAAAGACUGACGCUCAGGUGCGAAAGCGUGGGGAGCAAGCAGGAUUAGAUACCCGGGUAGUC